AGAGUUUGAUCCUGGCUCAGAACGAACGCUGGCAGCGCGCCUAAUACGUGCAAGUCGAGCGAGAAGACGUAGCAAUACGUUUGUUAAGCGGCGAACGGGUGAGGAAUACAUGGGUAACCUACCCCAGAGUGGGGAAUAACUAGCCGAAAGGKUAGCUAAUACCGCGUACGCUCCUUGGACUUCGGUUCAGGGAGGAAAGCGAUACCGAGGGUAUCGCGCUCUUGGAUGGGCUCAUGUCCUAUCAGCUUGUUGGUGAGGUAACGGCUCACCAAGGCUUCGACGGGUAGCUGGUCUGAGAGGACGAUCAGCCACACUGGCACUGCGACACGGGCCAGACUCCUACGGGAGGCAGCAGUAAGGAAUAUUGCGCAAUGGGCGAAAGCCUGACGCAGCGACGCCGCGUGGGGGAUGAAGGUCUUCGGAUUGUAAACCCCUUUCGGGAGGGAAGAUGGAAUGGGGUAACCCAUUCGGACGGUACCUCCAGAAGCAGCCACGGCUAACUUCGUGCCAGCAGCCGCGGUAAUAC
rnacentral:rRNA from 1 species